UACGGAGGGUGCAAGCGUUAUCCGGAUUCACUGGGUUUAAAGGGUGCGUAGGCGGGCAGGUAAGUCCGUGGUGAAAUCUCUGAGCUUAACUCAGAAACUGCCAUGGAUACUAUUUGUCUUGAAUAUUGUGGAGGUGAGCGGAAUAUGUCAUGUAGCGGUGAAAUGCUUAGAUAUGACACAGAACACCGAUUGCGAAGGCAGCUCACAAAACUGUUAUUGACGCUGAGGCACGAAAGCGUGGGUAUCAAACAGG
rnacentral:rRNA from 1 species